rnacentral:tRNA from 1 species
GAAAUAUAUAAUAUUUAAACUUCUAAUUUAAAUUCAAAGUGAAUUAAUUCAUUUUUAUUUCU